rnacentral:rRNA from 1 species
AACGAACGCUGGCGGCAGGCUCAACACAUGCAAGUCGAACGAGAUCUUCGGAUCUAGUGGCAGACGGGUGAGGAACACGUGGGAACAUCCCUUUCAGUUCGGAAUAACGUUGGGAAACUAACGCUAAUACCGGAUACGUCCUUCGGGAGAAAGAUUUAUCGCUGAAAGAUUGGCCCGCGUCUGAUUAGCUAGUUGGUGAGGUAAUGGCUCACCAAGGCUACGAUCAGUAGCUGAUCUGAGAGGAUGAUCAGCCACAUUGGGACUGAGACACGGCCCAAACUCCUACGGGAGGCAGCAGUGGGGAAUAUUGGACAAUGGGCGCAAGCUUGAUCCAGCCAUGCCGCGUGAGUGAUGACGGCCUUCGGGUUGUAAAGCUCUUUUGUCCGGGAAGAUAAUGACUGUACCGGAAGAAUAAGCCCCGGCAAACUUCGUGCCAGCAGCCGCAGUAA